rfam:Arabis alpina cultivar Pajares Aa.chr2_contig_2213, whole genome shotgun sequence.
ACUCCAUUGUGAGGACAAGAUCUAGUGUAACCCUUCAAUCUUUCCCAAGCUUCAUAGAGAGCUCCAUUGUUUGAAGCUUGUGAUAUCAUUCCUAAUUCU